UGUUCAGGGGUAAACCUGUGGUUCCCGAAAGUUCGAACGGGGAGAUUCAAUUGCCUCGCCGGUUAUGACAAUUUAACAGUGAUAUGUUUAUAUAUAUAUUAGAGACAUUAUAUGGCGGUUGCGGGUUUAUUCUCGUAGCUGUUUCUGUGUAGUGCUCCACUGUUUUAUGAUAUAUAGUUUAUAGCCGGAGGCAUGCACUUCUCCCCUUGUAGGACGUCGUGACCCAUUGGAUUAUGUUGUCUAAGGCUUAUAAUGGAGACCGUGACAUUAGGGCCGAAAGGCCUCAAUGAUCCGGACUUAUAAUGUCCCGACAUCUAUCCGAUGGUAUAAUUAUGAUGAUAGAUCGCUAUAAAUGCGUAUGAGCGUUCAGAUCCAUAACAAAUUCUUUAUAUGAUAUUUAAAUAGUGGAAAUCGGAUUUAAUGCCGAUUCUACACAUAUGGUAUUGAUAGUUAUGGUAUUCUCGAACCGUUCUUUAUCAUCAGUCAACGGCGUUUAUGUUUUGGGUAAUUACAGGACCCGUCUUGAAACACGGACCAAGGAGUCUAGCAUGUGCGCAAGUCAUUGGGACUUUGUGAAACCUAAAGGCGUAAUGAAAGUGAAAUAUUUGUGAAUUUUCGUAAUUCACUGAAUUUAAGGGAAGAUGGGUAACGGUUUUUAUGUUACCUCGCAUUCCCGGGGCGUCGCGUACUUAUUGCAAGUUGCGGCGCACCAAGAGCGUACACGCUGGGACCCGAAAGAUGGUGAACUAUGCCUGGUCAGGAUGAAGUCAGGGGAAACCCUGAUGGAGGUCCGUAGCGAUUCUGACGUGCAAAUCGAUCGUAUGAACUGGGUAUAGGGGCGAAAG
rnacentral:rRNA from 1 species